AGAGUUUGAUCAUGGCUCAGAUUGAACGCUGGCGGCAGGCCUAAGACAUGCAAGUCGAACGGUAACGACACUAGCUUGCUAGUGGGCGACGAGUGGCGGACGGGUGAGUAACGCGUAGGAAUCUACCUAGUAGUGGGGGAUAGCCAAGGGAAACUUUGGGUAAUACCGCAUACGAUCUACGGAUGAAAGGGGGCCUCUCUUUGAAGCUCUCGCUAUUAGAUGAGCCUGCGUAAGAUUAGCUUGUUGGUGGGGUAAUGGCCUACCAAGGCGACGAUCUUUAGCUGGUCUGAGAGGAUGAUCAGUCACACUGGAACUGAGACACGGUCCAGACUCCUACGGGAGGCAGCAGUCGGGAAUAUUGGACAAUGGGGGAAACCCUGAUCCAGCCAUGCCGCGUGUGUGAAGAAGCUCUAGGGUUGUAAAGCACUUUUAGUAAGGAGGAAGGCUCAGUAGUUAAUACCUGCUGGGAUUGACGUUACUUACAGAAAAGCACCGGCUAAUUUCGUGCCAGCAGCCGCGGUAUACGAAAGGUGCAAGCGUUAAUCGGAAUUACUGGGCGUAAAGCGCGCGUAGGCGGCUUGGUAAGUUAGAUGUGAAAGCCCCGGGCUCAACCUGGGAACUGCAUCUAAAACUGCUAGGCUAGAGUAUGGUAGAGGAUGGCGGAAUUUCCUGUGUAGCGGUGAAAUGCGUAGAUAUAGGAAGGAACAUCAGUGGCGAAGGCGGCCAUCUGGACCAAUACUGACGCUGAGGUGCGAAAGCGUGGGGAGCAAACAGGAUUAGAUACCCUGGUAGUCCACGCCGUAAACGAUGAGAACUAGCCGUUGGACAUCUUGCAUGUUUAGUGGCGCAGCUAACGCGAUAAGUUCUCCGCCUGGGGAGUACGGCCGCAAGGUUAAAACUCAAAUGAAUUGACGGGGGCCCGCACAAGCGGUGGAGCAUGUGGUUUAAUUCGA
rnacentral:rRNA from 1 species